rnacentral:rRNA from 1 species
GACGAACGCUGGCGGCGUGCCUAAUACAUGCAAGUUGAGCGCUGAAGGUUGGUACUUGUACCAACUGGAUGAGCAGCGAACGGGUGAGUAACGCGUGGGGAAUCUGCCUUUGAGCGGGGGACAACAUUUGGAAACGAAUGCUAAUACCGCAUAAAAACUUUAAACACAAGUUUUAAGUUUGAAAGAUGCAAUUGCAUCACUCAAAGAUGAUCCCGCGUUGUAUUAGCUAGUUGGUGAGGUAAAGGCUCACCAAGGCGAUGAUACAUAGCCGACCUGAGAGGGUGAUCGGCCACAUUGGGACUGAGACACGGCCCAAACUCCUACGGGAGGCAGCAGUAGGGAAGCUUCGGCAAUGGGCGAAAGUCUGACCGAGCAACGCCGCGGGAGUGAAGAAGGGUUUCGGAUCGUAAAACUCUGUUGGUAGAGAAGAACGUUGGUGAGAGUGGAAAGCUCAUCAAGUGACGGUAACUACCCAGAAAGGGACGGCUAACUACGUG